rnacentral:rRNA from 1 species
AGGUAAGCUACUAAGAGCGAAUGGUGGAUGCCUUGACUGGUAAAGGCGAUGAAGGACGUACUAGACUGCGAUAAGCUACGGGGAGCUGUCAAGAAGCUUUGAUCCGUAGAUUUCCGAAUGGGGCAACCCAAUGUAUAGAGAUAUACAUUACCUAUAUAGGAGCGAACGAGGGGAAUUGAAACAUCUUAGUACCCUCAGGAAAAGAAAUCAAUAGAGAUUGCGUCAGUAGCGGCGAGCGAAAGCGCAAGAGGGCAAACCCAGUGCUUGCACUGGGGGUUGUAGGACUGCAAUGUGCAAGAGGUGAGUUUAGCAGAACAUUCUGGAAAGUAUAGCCAUAGAGGGUGAUAGUCCCGUAUGCGAAAAACAAACCUUAGCUAGCAGUAUCCUGAGUAGGGCGGGACACGAGAAAUCCUGUCUGAAGCUGGGUCGACCACGAUCCAACCCUAAAUACUAAUACCAGAUCGAUAGUGCACAAGUACCGUGAGGGAAAGGUGAAAAGAACUGAGGUGAUCAGAGUGAAAUAGAACCUGAAACCAUUUGCUUACAAUCAUUCAGAGCCCUAUGUAGCAAUACAGGGUGAUGGACUGCCUUUUGCAUAAUGAGCCUGCGAGUUGUGGUGUCUGGCAAGGUUAAGCAAACGCGAAGCCGUAGCGAAAGCGAGUCUGAAUAGGGCGCUUAGUCAGAUGCUGCAGACCCGAAACGAAGUGAUCUAUCCAUGAGCAAGUUGAAGCUAGUGUAAGAACUAGUGGAGGACUGAACCCAUAGGCGUUGAAAAGCCCCGGGAUGACUUGUGGAUAGGGGUGAAAGGCCAAUCAAACUUCGUGAUAGCUGGUUCUCUCCGAAAUAUAUUUAGGUAUAGCGUUGUGUCGUAAUAUAAGGGGGUAGAGCACUGAAUGGGCUAGGGCAUACACCAAUGUACCAAACCCUAUCAAACUCCGAAUACCUUAUAUGUAAUCACAGCAGUCAGGCGGCGAGUGAUAAAAUCCGUCGUCAAGAGGGAAACAACCCAGACUACCAGCUAAGGUCCCUAAAUCUUACUUAAGUGGAAAACGAUGUGAAGUUACUUAAACAACCAGGAGGUUGGCUUAGAAGCAGCCAUCCUUUAAAGAAAGCGUAAUAGCUCACUGGUCUAGUGAUUUUGCGCGGAAAAUAUAACGGGGCUAAAGUAAGUACCGAAGCUGUAGACUUAGUUUACUAAGUGGUAGGAGAGCGUUCUAUUUGCGUCGAAGGUAUACCGGUAAGGAGUGCUGGAGCGAAUAGAAGUGAGCAUGCAGGCAUGAGUAGCGAUAAUUAAUGUGAGAAUCAUUAACGCCGUAAACCCAAGGUUUCCUACGCGAUGCUCGUCAUCGUAGGGUUAGUCGGGUCCUAAGUCGAGUCCGAAAGGGGUAGACGAUGGCAAAUUGGUUAAUAUUCCAAUACCAACAUUAGUGUGCGAUGGAAGGACGCUUAGGGCUAAGGGGGCUAGCGGAUGGAAGUGCUAGUCUAAGGUCGUAGGAGGUUAUACAGGCAAAUCCGUAUAACAAUACUCCGAGAACUGAAAGGCUUUUUGAAGUCUUCGGAUGGAUAGAAGAACCCCUGAUGCCAUCGAGCCAAGAAAAGUUUCUAAGUUUAGCUAAUGUUGCCCGUACCGUAAACCGACACAGGUGGGUGGGAUGAGUAUUCUAAGGCGCGUGGAAGAACUCUCUUUAAGGAACUCUGCAAAAUAGCACCGUAUCUUCGGUAUAAGGUGUGGUUCGCUUCGUAUUAGGAUUUACUCCGAAAGCGAAGAAACUUACAACAAAGAGUCCCUCCCGACUGUUUACCAAAAACACAGCACUCUGCUAACUCGUAAGAGGAUGUAUAGGGUGUGACGCCUGCCCGGUGCUCGAAGGUUAAUUGAUGGGGUUAGCAUUAGCGAAGCUCUUGAUCGAAGCCCGAGUAAACGGCGGCCGUAACUAUAACGGUCCUAAGGUAGCGAAAUUCCUUGUCGGUUAAAUACCGACCUGCAUGAAUGGCGUAACGAGAUGGGAGCUGUCUCAAAGAGGGAUCCAGUGAAAUUGUAGUGGAGGUGAAAAUUCCUCCUACCCGCGGCAAGACGGAAAGACCCGUGGACCUUUACUACAGCUUGACACUGCUAUUUGGAUAAGAAUGUGCAGGAUAGGUGGGAGGCUUUGAGUAUAUGACGCCAGUUGUAUAUGAGCCAUUGUUGAGAUACCACUCUUUCUUAUUUGGGUAGCUAACCAGCUUGAGUUAUCCUCAAGUGGGACAAUGUCUGGUGGGUAGUUUGACUGGGGCGGUCGCCUCCCAAAUAAUAACGGAGGCUUACAAAGGUUGGCUCAGAACGGUUGGAAAUCGUUCGUAGAGUAUAAAGGUAUAAGCCAGCUUAACUGCAAGACAUACAAGUCAAGCAGAGACGAAAGUCGGUCUUAGUGAUCCGGUGGUUCUGCGUGGAAGGGCCAUCGCUCAAAGGAUAAAAGGUACCCCGGGGAUAACAGGCUGAUCUCCCCCAAGAGCUCACAUCGACGGGGAGGUUUGGCACCUCGAUGUCGGCUCAUCGCAUCCUGGGGCUGGAGCAGGUCCCAAGGGUAUGGCUGUUCGCCAUUUAAAGCGGUACGCGAGCUGGGUUCAGAACGUCGUGAGACAGUUCGGUCCCUAUCUGCCGUGGGCGUAAGAAGAUUGAAGAGAUUUGACCCUAGUACGAGAGGACCGGGUUGAACAAACCACUGGUGUAGCUGUUGUUCUGCCAAGAGCAUCGCAGCGUAGCUAAGUUUGGAAAGGAUAAACGCUGAAAGCAUCUAAGCGUGAAGCCAACUCUAAGAUGAAUCUUCUCUAAGCUCUCUAGAAGACUACUAGUUUGAUAGGCUGGGUGUGUAAUGGAUGAAAGUCCUUUAGCUGACCAGUACUAAUAGAGCGUUUGGCUUAUCUUU